rnacentral:tRNA from 1 species
GCCUCGGUAGUCUAAUGGCUUAGGACUCUCGUAUGGAAUACAAGAGAUCCGGAUUCAAGUUCCAGCCGAGGUA